ensembl:lncRNA
CUAAAAAUCAAAGGCUUUCCAGGCAGAGACAACAGCAAAUCCGAAGGCCAAGGUGAGGCGGAGCUGUUGGAAGGACAUGAUUAGAGAGUAGGGAGCAGGGAGACCUCUGUGAGAUAAGGCCAGAGAUAUCAGAGUGAGGACCCAGGUCAUGGAGAACCUUGGAGGCCAUAGAGAAGAGUUUAGAUUCUAUUCUAAGCACAAUAAGAAAUCAUUUUAAAGAUUGCUGAGGAGAUUGGGCUAAUGGAGAUUUCAAGUGGAAGCUGGUAGACUGGUUAUGAGGCUUCUCCAUUAAUUCAGGUUAGAGAUGAAGCAACACUGAAGAUGGUCUGAAGUCAGGGAUGAAGAAGAAUGAUUGGACUUGGUGUUGGGUGAAGAAAAUGGAUGACUCAGGGAUGACACUCGGAUUCCUGGCUCUGAUAACCAGCCACAGGACGUUCAAAGAUUCCAGCUUUGCUCCAGCCUCCCAGCGUCCACUCCAGCUUCUCUUGGCCUAGAAGAUUCUCCCCUGGGAUGUGGAGUUCACUCUGCGACAUGUCCUGCCCCGCCCUCCAGCUCCUCAGUGAUGCCUACCCUGUCCACUCUCUUCAGUAUCUUCAGAAAUACUGAAUAGUUGCUGUUUACAAUGUUUACUGUUUGUCUAUCCUACUGGAAUAUAAGCUCCCCAAGGGUAGCGAUUCUUUAUGAUUUCACUGAUAUAUCCUAAGAGUCCAAUAGAUGCACAAAGAUAUUUGUUGAAUUGAACCGUUCACAGGUUACCAGCUAGCUCCUAAUGGGUUAAGCGGCAUAGAAGUUGUUUUCCCUUAAAACAACUGCUGUGAACAGAGAGUGCUUGUACUGCCCUGAAUGAUGGGGGAAGAGUGGGGGUGGAGAGGGUACAGCAGGGAAACCAAAAUUAGGGGGAAAAAUCCAUGUGAACACUUAAAGAGUCUUUUUGUGCUGCUGAUUUUGUAUUUCAGGCUAUAUGACCAAUGGCAAUAGCAUUAUUUAAGCUAUAAUUUUUAGUUUUUAGAGUAAUUUCUUUGGAAUGUUUUUCUUUCCUUCUAAAACAAGCGAACUCUGUGAAGCACAUAAGCUUCAGUUUCAGCUUAAGAGAGAAACCUUUAGGUGGAGAUAAAAUAGAAACCGGCACCUCUAUUCACUCUUUCAGUACCUGGUCUGUUUGAAGAGCGGACGUGUUUGGACAGUAAUGCUUAAUGAGAUCAUUUCUGUUACUGUUUGUGAAGGGCUUAGCUUUGCCUCCCUCUCCUUUGGGGCUUAAGAACUUGGACAUUUCAGAAUGCUUUCUCAAAAUUAAAUACAGAGUUUCAGUUGCUUUGAUGCAGUACUAGGGUACAACAAAAAAGCCUGUUGAAAAGGAUCUCAGAACUGAAAUUGAACAGCUACAGAAUCCUUGUGAAAACACAAAUACAGAAGAAAAGAGUCAACAUUUUAGGCAUAAAUUAGAUUUUAUACAAAAUUACAUUUUGAGCUUGUGGGAUCUGUGGUUGUUUUGAAACAUUAUCUCUGUUCUAGAAACUGUAAGCCUUCCUUUGAAUGAUUGCCCAAAAUCUCACCUUCGCUGCAGUGAUUAGCCAGUCCUGGUAUUUAGGGUGGAAUUUACAUGUGUUUAGCAGUCCCUUAAAUUCUUCACCCUGAAAAAGAACCCCUUUAUCCUCUAAGCACAGGUGUGGUGGACGCUUUUGCAUCAUUCAGUUACAUUCCAGAUUUGGGGGAAGUUAGCUAAGAGAUGUGUCUGCACACUAUGCUCUGGCC